rnacentral:rRNA from 1 species
AACGUAGGAGACAAACGUUAUCCGGAGUUACUGGGCGUAAAGGGCGUGUAGGUGGUUUCGUAAGUCUGGCGUGAAAUUUCUCGGCUCAACCGAGGAACGUCGAUCGAUACUGCUGUUCUUGAGGAUUGCAGAGGAGACUGGAAUUCCCGGUGUAGCGGUGAAAUGUGUAGAGAUCGGGAGGAACACCGGUGGCGAAGGCGGGUCUCUGGGCAAUUCCUGACGCUGAGGCGCGAAAGCGUGGGGAGCAAACGGG